CAGUAGCCGCGGUAAUACGAAGGGUGCAAGCGUUAAUCGGAAUUACUGGGCGUAAAGCGUGCGUAGGCGGUGAGUUAAGUCUGCUGUGAAAUCCCCGGGCUCAACCUGGGAAUGGCAGUGGAUACUGGCUCGCUAGAGUGUGUCAGAGGAUGGUGGUAUUCCCGGUGUAGCGGUGAAAUGCGUAGAGAUCGGGAGGAACAUCAGUGGCGAAGGCGGCCAUCUGGGACAACACUGACGCUGAGGCACGAAAGCGUGGGGAGCAAACAGGAUUAGAUACCCCCGUAGUCCCUGUCUCUUAUAC
rnacentral:rRNA from 1 species